rnacentral:rRNA from 1 species
UACGUAGGGCGCAAGCGUUGUCCGGAAUUAUUGGGCGUAAAGAGCUCGUAGGCGGUUUGUCGCGUCGGAUGUGAAAGCCCGGGGCUUAACUCCGGGUCUGCAUUCGAUACGGGCAGACUAGAGUGUGGUAGGGGAGAUCGGAAUUCCUGGUGUAGCGGUGAAAUGCGCAGAUAUCAGGAGGAACACCAGUGGCGAAGGCGGAUCUCUGGGCCAUUACUGACGCUGAGGAGCGAAAGCGUGGAGAGCAAACAGG